UACAGAGGUCCCAAGCGUUGUUCGGAUUCACUGGGCGUAAAGGGUGCGUAGGUGGUUAGGUAAGUCCGAUGUGAAAUCUCCAGGCUCAACCUGGAAAUGGCAUUGGAUACUAUUUAGCUUGAGGAGUGGAGGGGGGACUGGAAUUCUCGGUGUAGCAGUGAAAUGCUUAGAUAUGACAUAGAACACCAAUUGCGAAGGCAGCUUGCUACAGGGAUAUUGACACUGAGGCACGAAAGCGUGGGGAUCAAACAGG
rnacentral:rRNA from 1 species